rnacentral:rRNA from 1 species
ACGGGAGGCAGCAGUGAGGAAUAUUGGUCAAUGGAGGCAACUCUGAACCAGCCAUCUCGCGUGAAGGAAUACGGCCCUACGGGUCUUAAACUUCUUUUAUAGGGGGAUAAAGUGAGCCACGUGUGGCUUUUUGUAGGUACCCUAUGAAUAAGCAUCGGCUAACUCCGUGCCAGCAGCCGCGGUAAUACGGAGGAUGCGAGCGUUAUCCGGAUUUAUUGGGUUUAAAGGGAGCGUAGGCGGAUUAUCAAGUCAGUGGUAAAAUCGUGUGGCCCAACCAUACCUCGCCAUUGAAACUGUUAGUCUUGAGUGCACGCAGGGAUGCUGGAAUUCGUUGUGUAGCGGUGAAAUGCUUAGAUAUGACGAAGAACUCCGAUCGCGAAGGCAGGUGUCUGGAGUGCAACUGACGCUGAGGCUCGAAAGUGCGGGUAUCAAACAGGAUUAGAUACCCUGGUA